GGAGAUAUAGCUCAGUGGUAGAGUACUUGCCUGGUAAGCAUGAGGCCCUGGGUUCAAUCCCUAGUACCACCA
rfam:Ictidomys tridecemlineatus contig000991, whole genome shotgun sequence.